CGAACUCUGGUAUUGAUUGGUGCUUGCAUCAUGAUUUACAUUUGAGUGAGUGGCGAACUGGUGAGUAACACGUGGGAAACCUGCCCAGAAGCGGGGGAUAACACCUGGAAACAGAUGCUAAUACCGCAUAACAACUUGGACCGCAUGGUCCGAGUUUGAAAGAUGGCUUCGGCUAUCACUUUUGGAUGGUCCCGCGGCGUAUUAGCUAGAUGGUGGGGUAACGGCUCACCAUGGCAAUGAUACGUAGCCGACCUGAGAGGGUAAUCGGCCACAUUGGGACUGAGACACGGCCCAAACUCCUACGGGAGGCAGCAGUAGGGAAUCUUCCACAAUGGACGAAAGUCUGAUGGAGCAACGCCGCGUGAGUGAAGAAGGGUUUCGGCUCGUAAAACUCUGUUGUUAAAGAAGAACAUAUCUGAGAGUAACUGUUCAGGUAUUGACGGUAUUUAACCAGAAAGCCACGGCUAACUACGUGCCAGCAGCCGCGGUAAUACGUAGGUGGCAAGCGUUGUCCGGAUUUAUUGGGCGUAAAGCGAGCGCAGGCGGUUUUUUAAGUCUGAUGUGAAAGCCUUCGGCUCAACCGAAGAAGUGCAUCGGAAACUGGGAAACUUGAGUGCAGAAGAGGACAGUGGAACUCCAUGUGUAGCGGUGAAAUGCGUAGAUAUAUGGAAGAACACCAGUGGCGAAGGCGGCUGUCUGGUCUGUAACUGACGCUGAGGCUCGAAAGUAUGGGUAGCAAACAGGAUUAGAUACCCUGGUAGUCCAUACCGUAAACGAUGAAUGCUAAGUGUUGGAGGGUUUCCGCCCUUCAGUGCUGCAGCUAACGCAUUAAGCAUUCCGCCUGGGGAGUACGGCCGCAAGGCUGAAACUCAAAGGAAUUGACGGGGGCCCGCACAAGCGGUGGAGCAUGUGGUUUAAUUCGAAGCUACGCGAAGAACCUUACCAGGUCUUGACAUACUAUGCAAAUCUAAGAGAUUAGACGUUCCCUUCGGGGACAUGGAUACAGGUGGUGCAUGGUUGUCGUCAGCUCGUGUCGUGAGAUGUUGGGUUAAGUCCCGCAACGAGCGCAACCCUUAUUAUCAGUUGCCAGCAUUAAGUUGGGCACUCUGGUGAGACUGCCGGUGACAAACCGGAGGAAGGUGGGGAUGACGUCAAAUCAUCAUGCCCCUUAUGACCUGGGCUACACACGUGCUACAAUGGAUGGUACAACGAGUUGCGAACUCGCGAGAGUAAGCUAAUCUCUUAAAGCCAUUCUCAGUUCGGAUUGUAGGCUGCAACUCGCCUACAUGAAGUCGGAAUCGCUAGUAAUCGCGGAUCAGCAUGCCGCGGUGAAUACGUUCCCGGGCCUUGUACACACCGCCCGUCACACCAUGAGAGUUUGUAACACCCAAAGUCGGUGGGGUAACCU
rnacentral:rRNA from 1 species